rnacentral:rRNA from 1 species
AUUGAACGCUGGCGGCAGGCCUAACACAUGCAAGUCGAACGAGUGGCGGACGGGUGAGUAAUGUCUGGGAAACUGCCUGAUGGAGGGGGAUAACUACUGGAAACGGUAGCUAAUACCGCAUACCAUCGGAUGUGCCCAGAUGGGAUUAGCUAGUAGGUGGGGUAAUGGCUCACCUAGGCGACGAUCCCUAGCUGGUCUGAGAGGAUGACCAGCCAAACUGGAACGGGGAAACGGGCCAGACUCCUACGGGGGGCAGCAGUGGGGAAUAUUGGAACAUGGGGGCAAGCCUGAUGCAGCCAUGCCGCGUGUGUGAAGAAGGCCUUCGGGUUGUAAAGCACUUUCAGCGGGGAGGCGUUACCCGCAGAAGAAGCACCGGCUAACUCCGUGCCAGCAGCCGCGGUAAUAC